AAGAGAUUGGUUAAAAAAGUGACUAAUCUCGUUGGUUGAGGCAAUAUUGGUCAAAUUAACUGUGACAUUGGUAACUAUUAAACAAACAAAUUGGUUAUCUAACAACUAAUAUCAUUGGUUAAGAACAAAUUGGUUGAUUUAACAAAGAUAUUGGUUAACUUUAAUAACAGAUUGGUUGAAAAAUGACUAAUAACAUUGGUUAAGCAAAUGUUAACUAAGAGAUUGGUAACUGACGCAGGUCUGACGCUCAACGUCAAGUACGUAACUCUGCUUCUCAAUUUUCUGACAAAGCCGCCAUCUUGGUGCUGCAGGAAAGCCGUUUGAGAUAUUGGUGGAAUUCAAACACUUUGUGAGAUGACAGAAUAUUGCUGAAGGAUCCUACAUGGAAGCUGGCUGAUUACACGGAGUGAUUCCUCUGGUGUGGUGUACCUCAGAGAAAUAAACACUGUUGCAAGAGCUGAGAAGAUGGCCAAGAUAUCCUUAUUGCUGGAUGGUAGCUCUGGUCGUAGUGGACCAUAUCUGCAAAUGCUUCUGAACAUUGACAGAAUUUCUAAAGGUUAGCAACCAUUCACAAAUUUACACCACAUGUAUGUGUGUUUCAAAUGUCUUAACAGUUUGAAGCACACACUGUUAAUCAGAGAUGCGUCCU